rnacentral:rRNA from 1 species
UACGUAGGGGGCAAGCGUUGUCCGGAUUUAUUGGGCGUAAAGAGCGUGUAGGCGGCUUUACAGGUCCGUUGUGAAAACUCGAGGCUCAACCUCGAGACGCCGGUGGAAACCGUAAAGCUAGAGUCCGGAAGAGGAGAGUGGAAUUCCUGGUGUAGCGGUGAAAUGCGUAGAGAGUGGGGAGAACACUCGUGGCGAAGGCGGCCAGCUAGACCAGUUCUGACACUGAGGCGCGACGAGCGUGGGAGCAAACAGGAUU